AGCAUAGCUUUUUUUUAUAUACACCACAAAAAAAGAUGCUUCUUUAACGGAAUCCUGCCUACCCCACCUUUAAGUAAAAAAAAAAUCAGGAAGUUUAACUGUCAAUGAAGUGAAACGUCGCAGGUUUAAACUGUUAAACAACCUUGAUACAAACUUCUGAUUGAUUAAUUGAGCUAUUUGUUUGAAGACAGAAUCAACUGACUAAAAUAUUUGUUGGUUCAGACCUCAUCAAACCCAUAAGGGCAAAAAUAUGACUAAAAAUAAAAUAAAAUAAAAAAACAAAAUGGUAAAGGUUUUCUUUGUUUUUGCAAGGAAUCAUGAAGGAGGGAGGAGAUCAAAAUGGAUAGAAAAAAGGAAAUAGGCAAUGAAGUAAGAGGCAGAUCAACAAAGAGAAAGAAAAGAGGAGGUUCACUGUUGAUUCUUGUCUUCUGAAGAGCAGAUUGUUGCAGUUAGAGAGUUUGUGGUCAUGCAUGACAAUCAUGGUGAAGAUCUUGGUGAAGAAAAUUCCUCUCCUGCAGACGGUUCGGAGCAGAUCAGUCUGAUCUGCAUUCACACGAUUCACCUGUCUGUCUGUCUGCCUGUCAUAAACACAGCGGCUGUCUGUGAUCAAGAGUUUGCUCUGUCUGUUGGUGAAUGCUAUUUGAUAUAAAGCAUUGAUGUGUGUGAAUGUGUGUAUGUGUGUGUGGGUGUGUGUGAGAUUCCUGUCUGGAGUAGGUGGGUGCUGGUUUCAGACCCUGCAGGUCAGUUUGUUAGAGUUGGCAGCACAGAAGAGCAAAGUAAACAGCACAUAAAGAGAAAAAUCUGGAUGGAGCUCUGAUGAGAAAUAGUGGCGGAUUAAACUGAGCUGUGCUGCAAUGACAACAUGUACACAAACACAUAUACACACUCACUCUGAGGUACCCAGCAACCCUCACACAUAAAUUUUCAGCGUCUCCUUACUUGACUCCAGCUAUUGACACAUUGAAGACAUAUUAAAUCUUUCAGCCAGUUGUAAACAUUUAACAAGUCACUCACAGAGGUGGAGCACCUGGUGUUGCAGUUUUAUAUCAAAGCUUUUACAUACACAAAAUACACAAUUACUGGCAGAGAAACCUGUGCAAGAGUUUAUUUGUGUGUUAUCUACAAAACCCAGAGAUGGCUGCAGAAUUAUCGUUUCAAAGAAGAUUAAAAAGCAAACAGGAGAAUAAUGCAGGGUGAAGCUCGAUGCCAGUUUUUUUCUAAAUUGGACUUACGCACAUGUACUUCUGUGAUUUCUCUGUAAUGACAGGUUGGCUGCAGAAGCAAGAGAUUAGCUGAAAUGGAGGCAAAAGACACCGAGUAGUGUUUGUCUUUGUCGGCCUAUAAUGUCUUUCCUAACCCUGACACUGAUCGGCCCCACAGUCUGAAGAUUUGUCACCGUCUGUCUGAAGAGUUUAUCUAAAAAGGAAUAAGUUUGGCAAAGAAGUGAGUGGAACACAAUCUUUGCAAAGUUUGGAGUCAGAAAAAUCCUGAAUGAUGAGCUUAAAUAAAUAUAAUGUGUCAGUUUCUGCUCAAGUUCCAAAAUCCACCUCCCAACAAAGACUUCCCUGAAGGAAUAAGCAAACUUAAUUUAUUUCUGCAAAGUAAUGUGACUGCAGAAAUACAACACCCCAGAAAAUAGAGCCAAGGUAUCAUAAAAAGUAGAAACUGAGCUAUUUUGUCUUAUGAAAAAUAAAUGAGCUAAUUUCAAAUUUGAUGCUAGCAACAUGUGCAAAAAGAGUUGGGAUAGGGGUGUGUUAUCUUUGUAUUGCAUCACCUGUAGUUUUUAAAUUGAAAUUUUGUCCAAUUCUUGCCUGAUAGUUUUUCCAUUGCUGAACAGUUCAGUGUCUCCUUUGUCGUAUGUUUUGUUGUCUAAUAGGCGACAUGACAGGACUGUUUAAGAGGCCAGUUUAGAAGCAGGACUCUUCUACUACAGAGCCAUGGACCUUUUCCGUUGAAACAUGUCAAGGUAAAAAAAGGAAACACACUGGUCCAAAUAGAGGAAAUAUUUGUGGAAUGUAUUCAUGGUUCAGCAUUAAUGGAGCCUUCCCAGAUGUGUAAGCUACCCAUGCCAUGGACACUUACCUCAGAGGUCGGCUGUCGGAGUUGGGAAUGAUGCCACACCCAAGUUGACAGCAUUCCAGUUAACAGGUUGGAAAAAUGGACGCCUACAUUUAGCCCUUGUUAGCUAUUGCUCACAAUUGUCAGCUGUUGUUAGCGGUUGUCAGCUGUUGUUUGCUAUACCAGUCAUAAACAAUGCACAACACAGUAUUUUACUCUACAAACACCAUAGCAACGUGUUCACAGUUAGGCACUGGGCAGUACAACACAUGCCACUUAUAUAAUUGCGCCAACACAAAACAGAAGUGCUAAUAAACAAUACAUUACGAGAGCUUUCACUGUUACUCUUUACUGUUGAUGCACUGUGCUGCCAUCUUGGAAUAUGAUGUAGUCGUCAAGUCGGGGUUGGCGAGGAUUGUCCGGCUUUCUGAGUUAGAAAUCCGAAUUUGGGGGGGCGUUCCAGAUGAAUUUCUGACUCAGAGCUCGGAAAUUCCACUUUCUGAGUACAACUGGAACGCAGCAUUAUGCAUCACCAUACCAUCAGAGAAGCUGGCUUUUUAACAAUGUUCUGUGUAGACAGAAACUCAAAUUGAUUUAUACAACAUGUAAUUCACAGGAGCUUUAACUUGCUGAAAAAGGAUACUUCUGAAAUCUAGAUAUUACUUUCAAAUUGUUUUGCAUGAAUAUUACACUUAUUACACGUUUUAUGUAUCCUCCCCUUUUUUAAGUUAAGUGUAAAUGUAAGUUCUAUGUGAACCCUUAUGUGUAAUGUUGCUUCUGAUUUCCCUUAUGUAGCAUAUUUUAAGCCAUCAGAGUUUAUUUGCCCCAACCAGCCACCAUACUUUUCUUCACAUACUUGACGCUUUUGUUUAUUUUUUAAUCAGGUAAUGAGACCAGAAAGAAAAAAAAAACUCAAGCUACCUUCUAUUUUAGCUGACUGUCAAUGAGGCAAAGUUUUAUUACGCAACUAUUUUGUGCACUCCAAAAUCCCCUGAUUUAGAUUUCAAGUCAUUUAAUAACAAACCCAAACAGAACAAAACCAAAACAGAUGUGAAGACCCACGAGUCCCGCAGGAUGUCAGUGUUAUGAAAAACUCAUAAAUCCACAUGAAGUUUUAUUGACAUUCAGAUGGUAAAAUCACAGCCGCAGGACAGCAGGAGCAUCAGAGGACAGUCCUGACUAAUGUCUGUCCCCCGUCCAGUCUGGCCGGAACUCCCUCCAUCCUUCAGACAGAGGCGGCUGACAUCACAUGAUGUUUUCUAUCUGAGUCACUCACCUCCUCCUUCACAUUUAAAAACAAAAUGAACAGCUCAGUGAAGCAACAGCCAUUAAUAAAAUGAGGUUCAAAAAUAGCAGGAAAAAUGUGAGAGCUUGCCAGUUUUGAGGGAGUUGUCAUUGGAUUGGUGUUUGUCUGUGUUCUGUCCGCUCUGACAGACUGAAC